CUGUUUUAACAACAGCAUCCAGCAUGAUUCAGGUUUAUUCUCCUAUCAAUUGUACAUGUUGUGCAUUCAAAACAGCCAACUCUGAUGUCUGGAGGGCUGUACAGUGCUCCUGAAGCAGCAGUGACUACAAGUGACUCAUUGCAACUUCCCUGAAUUGCUCUGGAGGAGCAGCCUGCUUAUCUGUGAUGCUUGUCCUGCUUCUGUUGCUGUUGGAGGAAAUGUUCAGAAACAGCUGGAGCUGCUGGGUGAGAAGAAAACCAUAUCAGCAACUGAUUUGAACGGAAAUAACAGACAGUUGUUGAUGGGAGGUCAAGGCUGUGGGAUUCCAUACAAAGAUGAGAUUUAUUAGAGACUUGAAUGCUCAGUUGUGUGCAUUAUUUCCACUGGAUUGGGAGCAGAUUCAAAACUGGAGAACUGGACAUUCACAUGGUCCAAGAACUGAAAGGUGUCUCUUAUUCGAAGGCUGAGUUCCCCACCAGUGGAUUUGCUGGGACUGAUGAGGACAUGCAGCAACCUUGGGAGCUGGGAUGAGGGACCAGCCACUGAUGCUGGCAGCAGCUCCUGGUCAAGGGAAGGCUCCUGGCAUGGUGGUUUCCCCCUGGAAGAGAUGAACAACGAACAGAAGAGGCUACUGGUGCAAGUGCUUCAGAGACAGGGAUUUCGUCCUGCAAAAGGGUUACUGACAGCCACGGCUGAAAACAGCAGGGCAGUGUUCAGGCUGCACAAGCAGGGCCAGCUCUGGGCUUUGAG